CCUACGGGUGGCAGCAGUGAGGAAUAUUGGUCAAUGGGCGCGAGCCUGAACCAGCCAAGUCGCGUGAGGGAGGACGGCCCUACGGGUUGUAAACCUCUUUUGCCGGGGAGCAACGGGCGCCACGUGUGGCGCCACUGAGAGUACCCGGAGACAAAGCAUCGGCUAACUCCUUGCCAGCAGGCGCGGUAAUACGGAGGAUGCGAGCGGUAUCCGGUUUUAUUGGGUUAAAGGGGUGCGUAGGCGGAUCGUUAAGUCUGUGGUAAAAUUGAGGGGCUCAACCCUUUCCCGCCAUUGAAACUGGCGUUCUUGAGUGGAGGAGAAGUAAGCGGAAUGCGUGGUGUAGCGGUGAAAUGCAUAGAUAGCACGCAGAACCCCAAUUGCGAAGGCAGCAUGCCGGAUUCCGACUGACGCUGAAGCACGAAAGCGUGGGGAUCGAACAGGAUUAGAUACCCGGGUAGUC
rnacentral:rRNA from 1 species